CCUUCCACUGGGCGCUUAGCCCGCGAGGAUUCGGGGGUCGGCGAGGGGUCUCCCCGAGGAGGAGGUUGCAGAGGCCGGAGAAGCCUGUCUUCUGCUACAAGCCUGUCUUCUCUAAGCUCUUGCGGGGCGAAUGGAUCCCCACUCACCUUUGGCUUUCUAGCCCCUAACGUGGUAGGUGCUUAACAUGCGUAUGGAACGAAUGAUGGAAUGACUGAAUUCCGAGGGAAUGUUACAAAAGUGGGAAAAUGAUUUAAAGCACAGAUGUGAGCCUCCCACCUGCCUGCUGCCUUCUCUCUCUCACCUUGGAUCUCCAACCUCACCUGGGCUCGACAUGAACCCCAACUGCUCCUGUACCUCUGGUUGCUGCUCCUGCUGCCCCGUGAGCUGUGUCAAGUGCACCCAGGGCUGUGUCUGCCAAGGGACAUCGGACAAGUGCAGCUGCUGCGCCUGAUGUCGGGAGGGCCCUGCUUCCAAAUGUAAAUGGAGCAGCGUGUACAAACCUGGAAUUUUUUCUCAUACAACCCUGGCUCUUUCACUACAUUUAUUUUUCUAUGAAAUAGGUGAAUGGUAAUAAAAGUUAUUGAUUUUUUAAAAAAUACAAAUGGAAUUUGAACUUGUAAAAUUGAAGUUAGAUUUCAAAUAAGCUUCCAGUUAUAGUAAAGAAAUUCAGAAAGUUC